rnacentral:tRNA from 1 species
AGGAUAUCGUACAAUAACGUAUUUUUGGUAGACCUACCUUGACAUGGUAGAGGUCGCUAGUUCGAAUCUAGUUACGCCUACCA